rnacentral:rRNA from 1 species
UGGGGAAUAUUGCACAAUGGGCGCAAGCCUGAUGCAGCCAUGCCGCGUGUGUGAAUUAUGCCUUCGGGUUGUAAAGCACUUUCAGCGGGGAGGAAGGCGAUAAGGUUAAUAACCUUGUCGAUUGCCGUUACCCGCAGAAGAAGCACCGUCUAAUUCCGUGCCAGCAGCCGCGGUAAUACGGAGGGUGCAAGCGUUAAUCGGAAUUACUGGGCGUAAAGCGCACGCAGGCGGUCUGUCAAGUCGGAUGUGAAAUCCCCGGGCUUAACCUGGGAACUGCAUUCGAAACUGGCAGGCUAGAGUCUUGUAGAGGGGGGAAGAAUUCCAUGUGUAGCGGUGAAAUGCGUAGAGAUGUGGAGGAAUACCGGAGGCGAAGGCGGCCCCCUGGACAAAGACUAACGCACAGGUGCGAAAGCGUGGGGAGCAAACAGG